CAGUAGCCACGGUAAUACGUAGGUGGCAAGCGUUGUCCGGAAUUAUUGGGCGUAAAGCGCGCGCAGGUGGUUUAAUAAGUCUGAUGUGAAAGCCCACGGCUCAACCGUGGAGGGUCAUUGGAAACUGUUAAACUUGAGUGCAGGAGAGAAAAGUGGAAUUCCUAGUGUAGCGGUGAAGUGCGUAGAGAUUAGGAGGAACACCAGUGGCGAAGGCGGCUUUUUGGCCUGUAACUGACACUGAGGCGCGAAAGCGUGGGGAGCAAACAGGAUUAGAUACCCCUGUAGUCCCUGUCUCUUAUAC
rnacentral:rRNA from 1 species